GGGAAACCCAGUGUGAUUCGUCACACUAUCGUUAACUGAAUACAUAGGUUAACGAGGCGAACCGGGGGAACUGAAACAUCUAAGUACCCCGAGGAAAAGAAAUCAACCGAGAUUCCCCCAGUAGCGGCGAGCGAACGGGGAGCAGCCCAGAGUCUGAAUCAGCUUGUGUGUUAGUGGAACGGUCUGGAAAGUCCGACGGUACAGGGUGAUAGUCCCGUACACCAAAAUGCACAGGCUGUGAACUCGAAGAGUAGGGCGGGACACGUGGUAUCCUGUCUGAAUAUGGGGGGACCAUCCUCCAA
rnacentral:rRNA from 1 species